CAAACGACUCUCGGCAACGGAUAUCUCGGCUCAUGCAUCGAUGAAGAACGUAGCAAAAUGCGAUACUUGGUGUGAAUUGCAGAAUCCCGUGAACCAUCGAGUUUUUGAACGCAAGUUGCGCCCGAAGCCUUUUGGCCGAGGGCACGUCUGCCUGGGCGUCACGC
rnacentral:rRNA from 1 species